rnacentral:lncRNA from 1 species
CCGUCAUGCAGAGGAAAUUCAGGGAGAGGACUCCUAGGAGAAAGCCAGCCUGAGUAGGGAAAUAUCCACAGAGACAUCCUAGACCCUCAAGAACCUUGCAUCUGUGUUCAAACAGUUGAAUUUAAACAAACAGUUGUGGAAGCCGGAAGUUCAAAAUCAAGAUGUCAGCAGUGUGUGUCAGUUCCUUCUGGAGUCUCGAGGAAGGAUCCGUUGUAUGAGUCUCUCCUUCCCUCUGUGCUGCAACUCCUGAAACCUGAAGUCUGUGACUCACCAGUUCUAAGCCCCAGAGUCCUGAUGGGGCACCUCAAGGAGACACUUCAGCCACCUAAGUCAGCUGGACCACCCCAUGACACAGUCAUGGAGGUUCCAGUCUGAAUUCAGAGUCAAUGAUAAGGGAGGCUUCCGUGGCAGAGUGAAAAGCACACACCUGAGAAAUGAAAAGAAAUGGCAAAGGUCACACGUCUCAGGAUGAAUUGCACUGUGUGUGACACCCUAGCUGAAAUCCUAUCCCACAGGACCAUCAGCCUGGAAUGCAGUUUGAAGAUAUGUGCAGAAGAAAUGCCCAAGCCGACCCCGGACCUACAGUGAGAAGCAGAACAGCCCAGAGAAGCUCAGCCUAGGGCAACAGAGACAGCCUAGUCAACCUACAGAUCUGGGACAAUAAAUGCUUCUGCUUUUAAGCCACCG